rnacentral:rRNA from 1 species
UGAAUACGAAAUGCUACGGCAUUGAAGUGAUCUAUGCCAGGCUUCCAAGAAAAUCUCGUCAUAUCUUAAGCAGUAGAUGCCUGUACCUUAAACCGACACAGGUAGGUAGGUAGAGUAUACCAAGGGGCGCGAGAUAACUCUCUCUAAGGAACUCGGCAAAAUAACCUCGUAACUUCGGAAGAAGAGGUACCCUUGAAAAAGGGUUGCAAUAACCAGACCCUGGCGACUGUUUACCAAAAACACAGGUCUCCGCUAAUUCGUAAGAUCAAGUAUGGAUCUGACGCCUGCCCAGUGCCGGAAGGUUAAAGAAGUUGGUCAAUCUUUGGAUGAAGCUGGCGACUGAAGCCCCGGUGAACGGCGGCCGUAACGAUAACGGUCCUAAGGUAGCGAAGUUCCUUGUCGGGUAAGUUCCGACCCGCACGAAAGGCGUAACGAUCAGGGUGCUGUCUCGGAGAGAGACUCGGCGAAAUAGACAUGUCUGUGAAGAUGCGGACUACCUGCACCUGGACAGAAAGACCCUAUGAAGCUUUACUGUAUCUUGGAAUUGGGUUUGGGCCUUGCUUGCGCAGGAUAGGUGGGAGGCUGUGAAGAUAUUCUUGCGGGAAUGUUGGAGCCAACGGUGAGAUACCACUCUAGUAAGGCUAAAAUUCUAACUCUGAACCGUUAUCCGGUCAGAGAACAGUUUCAGGUGGGCAGUCUGACUGGGGCGGUCGCCUCCUAAAAGGUAACGGAGGCGCGCAAAGGUUCCCUCAGGCUGGUUGGACAUCGGUCGUAGAGUGUAAAGGCAUAAGGGAGCUUGACUGCGAGACCCACAAGUCGAGCAGAGACGAAAGUCGGCCUUAGUGAUCCGACGGUUCCACGUGGAAGGGCCGUCGCUCAACGGAUAAAAGUUACUCUAAGGAUAACAGGCUGAUCUCCCCCAAGAGUUCACAUCGACGGGGAGGUUUGGCACCUCGAUGUCGGCUCAUCGCAUCCUGGGGCGGUAGUACGUCCCAAGGGUUGGGCUGUUCGCCCAUGAAAGCGGUACGCGAGCUGGGUUCAGAACGUCGUGAGACAGUUCGGUCCAUAUCCGGUGCAGGCGUUAGAGCAUUGAGAGGAGUCCCCCUUAGUACGAGAGGACCGGGGGGAAUACACCGCUGGUGUACCAGUUAUCGUGCCAACGGUAAACGCUGGGUAGCCAUGUGUAGCGCGGAUAACUGCUGAAAGCAUCUAAGUAGGAAGCCCACCUUAAGAUGAGUGCUCUCACCGCUAUAAGCGGGUAAGGUCACGGUAAGAACAACCGUUAUAUAGGCAUUAAGUAUACGUGCAGUAAUGCAUUUAGCUGAGAUGUACUAACAGACCGAGGGC